UAGAACUGGCUGGAAGGGCCACAGGGCAGGGAUGGGAACCUGAGAUCUGGUCUAUCUGUCAAGAAGCAGCCACGUCACUGCACUAUGUUUAAACAGACUCUUCAGUUCACUUCAUUUCUUUCACAAAGGCUGCCCUCCCUUGGACAGAAGAAGGCCGGACACAGGACCUGCUAAAAUAGGAGCGUUUAGGGAGCUACUUGCAUUCUGAGUGGUGAGACCCCAGGCCACUUUCUCUGCUUGGCUUCCAGAAAGAUGGCUUCUGGCUUAUGCCAUAGGGAUCGAAUGCUCAGAAGUCUGUAUAUUUUUAACUACCAGCAUAUUUCUUAUCAAAGACUGGCAGUAUAUCCUUCAGUACAUGAUCACUAUCAAGACCUUGGCUGAUCUAGCAGCUUCAUGCUUC